rnacentral:rRNA from 1 species
GUGCCAGCCGCCGCGGUAAUACGUAGGGUCCGAGCGUUGUCCGGAGUUACUGGGCGUAAAGCGCGCGCAGGCGGCGAGAUAAGUCUGGCGUGAAAGCCCCCGGCUCAACCGGGGAGGGUCGUCGGAGACUGUUUUGCUUGAGGGCGGUAGGGGCUGGUGGAAUUCCCGGUGUAGUGGUGAAAUGCGUAGAGAUCGGGAGGAACACCUGUGGCGAAGGCGGCCAGCUGGGCCGACCCUGACGCUGAGGCGCGAAGGCGUGGGGAGCGAACGGGAUUAGAUACCCCGGUAGUCC